CUGGACUUUGUUCUUUCGAGAAACUGCUCUUUCGCCACAGAUGCAGAUACUUUAGUUCAGGCCAAAAAGACAUUUAUCUUCAAGGUAGCACAAAGAAUCCCAAACAACAAAGAAAAUUGACCAAGCAGAAAGAAGUACCAUGGGUUUUCAGAGGCCCCAGCCCCACAGAACCUACCCAUUGCACAAGACUUGAAGGAAGAUUUCUUAUUUCUGCUAACUUCGAUAAUGCAGUGAAAGGGAAUGGACUGAAGCAGCCCAGCUCUAACAAACAUGCCUGGAAAGCACCUUCUACUAUUACACUGGUAACCAUAAAAUAUUCGUAACUUCCUAGAGGAGAUGACAUCAAGUGCCUCUCCAGAACUGCAUCGUGCCAGCAAUCCUUGCUGAUGUCACGUGGAUGUUGCUACCACUCACCACCAUUCAGGAGGGCAUCAGCACCUUUGAGGAGUGGGAUCUUCAUGCAAGUGGGAAGAUGAUGAUUUUCUGUGUAGCACCCCCAUUCCAGACAUAGUGGGAGGGGUGGAGAAGGAAAGCAACAUUACUACUGCGUUCUGCCCUCCUGAUGGUUUAUGCAAAGAGGAAUGGCAUUUUCUUUGCAAAAUCAAAACAGCCAGUCAAUUGCAGGAAGAGUAAUUAAGCUUUAUGCAGCUGCCAACCAUGUUCUCUCUGGACAAACAUUUCAAUUCAGGCAUGUUUUGUAAAUGGACAAUGACAGUUUCGGGGUGGGGGUGGGGUUUCUUCCUUCUUCUAAAACCCAGAAAAUUUCUAUAUAAAGUCAGCUACAGAACUCUGCAACACGCUUCCUAAAGAAUGCUGCCAAUAUCUCAAAUACAGUAAAGGAAAAAAAAAUUAACCUGUUACUUCUCAUUAAUUCAGAUAUGAAGACUUACUAGAAAAGGCUUUAAUUUCAGAUUCAUGAAACACUUUAUGAAAUAAAGGCUUUUCAAAGUUCUUUAGUGUAAUCCCAGUUUGUAAGGAGAAGCUAUAGGAAUGAGCAAAAGGACUGCUGAAUAGGCUAAGAGAAUGGCUAAGGACAUCCUUUGCUCACCGUCCUGACUUGUGAUAAUAUGUCAUUGCUUUAGGAGAAAGAGGACAAAACAAAACAAAUAAUGUCUGGUUGUAUUGUUGAUAUGAUUUUAACCUCAGGAUAAACAUCUGGACAAACUCUCAGCAUCAUUAUUAUUUGUUGCCACGAUUAUCCCAGAACCUGCAGUUCUGGAGCCAGACCACAGCAAUGCUAAACCAUUGUGUGCUGGCAAAAUAAAAAGGCUGUCUCCUUCCCCAACACCCACAAAUAUCUAAACAAAUUAUUAAAACCCCUCAAACAACAACAACAAACAACAGCAUAACACAAAUGAGAAUGAUAUAUCCACUCUUUUCUAU